UACGUAGGGUCCGAGCGUUGUCCGGAAUUACUGGGCGUAAAGAGCUCGUAGGCGGUUCGGCAAGUCGGGUGUGAAAACUCCAGGCUCAACCUGGAGACGCCACCCGAUACUGCUGUGACUUGAGUCCGGUAGGGGACCACGGAAUUCCUGGUGUAGCGGUGAAAUGCGCAGAUAUCGGGAGGAACACCGGUGGCGAAGGCGGUUCUCUGGGCCUGACCUGACGCUGAGGAGCGAAAGCGUGGGGAGCGAACAGG
rnacentral:rRNA from 1 species